rnacentral:rRNA from 1 species
AGAGUUUGAUCCUGGCUCAAGAUGAGCGCUGGCGGCGUGCCUAACACAUGCAAGUCGAGCGAAGCACUUUGCUUAUAUUCUUCGGAUGAAGAGGAUUGUGACUGAGCGGCGGACGGGUGAGUAACGCGUGGGUAACCUGCCUCAUACGGGGGGAUAACAGUUAGAAAUGACUGCUAAUACCGCAUAAGACCACAGCACCGCGUGGUGCGGGGGUAAAAACUCCGGUGGUAUGAGAUGGACCCGCGUCUGAUUAGCUAGUUGGUAAGGUAACGGCUUACCAAGGCGACGAUCAGUAGCCGACCUGAGAGGGUGACCGGCCACAUUGGGACUGAGACACGGCCCAAACUCCUACGGGAGGCAGCAGUGGGGAAUAUUGCACAAUGGGGGAAACCCUGAUGCAGCGACGCCGCGUGAGCGAAGAAGUAUUUCGGUAUGUAAAGCUCUAUCAGCAGGGAAGAAAAUGACGGUACCUGACUAAGAAGCACCGGCUAAAUACGUGCCAGCAGCCGCGGUAAUACGUAUGGUGCAAGCGUUAUCCGGAUUUACUGGGUGUAAAGGGAGCGUAGACGGAUGGGCAAGUCUGAUGUGAAAACCCGGGGCUCAACCCCGGGACUGCAUUGGAAACUGUUCAUCUAGAGUGUUGGAGAGGUAAGUGGAAUUCCUAGUGUAGCGGUGAAAUGCGUAGAUAUUAGGAGGAACACCAGUGGCGAAGGCGGCUUACUGGACAGUAACUGACGUUGAGGCUCGAAAGCGUGGGGAGCAAACAGGAUUAGAUACCCUGGUAGUCCACGCCGUAAACGAUGACUACUAGGUGUCGGGUGGCAAAGCCAUUCGGUGCCGCAGCAAACGCAAUAAGUAGUCCACCUGGGGAGUACGUUCGCAAGAAUGUAACUCAAAGGAAUUGACGGGGACCCGCACAAGCGGUGGAGCAUGUGGUUUAAUUCGAAGCAACGCGAAGAACCUUACCUGCUCUUGACAUCCCGCUGACCGGACGAUAAUGCGUCCUUCCCUUCGGGGCAGCGGAGACAGGUGGUGCAUGGUUGUCGUCAGCUCGUGUCGUGAGAUGUUGGGUUAAGUCCCGCAACGAGCGCAACCCCUAUCUUUAGUAGCCAGCGGCCAGGCCGGGCACUCUAGAGAGACUGCCGGGGAUAACCCGGAGGAAGGCGGGGAUGACGUCAAAUCAUCAUGCCCCUUAUGAGCAGGGCUACACACGUGCUACAAUGGCGUAAACAAAGGGAAGCGAGACCGCGAGGUGGAGCAAAUCCCAAAAAUAACGUCUCAGUUCGGAUUGUAGUCUGCAACUCGACUACAUGAAGCUGGAAUCGCUAGUAAUCGCGAAUCAGAAUGUCGCGGUGAAUACGUUCCCGGGUCUUGCACA